UAUUUUAAUUCCAGUUAGUUAACAGUGUUAUAUUAGUUUCAGGUGUACAAUAUAGUGAUUCAAUAAUUCCAUGUGUCACCCUGUGCUCAUCACAAGUGCACUCUUUAUCCCCAUCACUUACUUCACCCAUGCCCCCAACCAUCUCCCCUCUGAUAACCAUCAGUUUGUUCUCUAUAGUUAAGAGUCUGUUUCUUGGUUUGCCUCCCUCCCUCUCUCUCUCUUUUUUAUUUUCCUUUGCUCAUUUGUUUUGUUUCUUAAAUUCCACAUAUGGGUGAAAUCAUAUGGUAUCUGUCUUUCUCUGACUGACUGAUUUCACUUAACAUUAUACUCUCUUAACAUUAUAUUCUCCAUCCACGUGGUUGCAAAUGGCAAGCUUUCAUCCUUUUUUAUGGCUGAGCAACAUUCCAUUGUGUGUGUAUACACACACACACACACACACACAUAUAUAUAUAUUAUACAUAUCUUCUUUAUCCAUUCAUCAAUCGAUGGACACUUGGGCAGCUUCCAUAUCUUGGCUACUGUGAAUAAUGCUGCUAUAAACACAGGGAUGCAUGUAUCACUUUCAAUUAGUGUCUUUGUAUUUUUGGGGUAAAUAGCCAGUAUUGCGAUUGUUGAAUUGUAGGGUAGCUCUAUUUUUUAACUUUUUGAGGAAUCUCCAUACUGUUUUCCACAGUAGCUGUACUAGUUUGCAUUCCCACCACCAGUGCACAAGUGUUCCUUUUUCUCCACAUACUCACCAACACUUGUUGUUUCUUGUUUUGUUGAUUUUAGCCAUUCUGACAGGUGUGGGGUACUAUCUCAUUGUAGUUUUGAUUUGCAUUUCCCUGACGGUGAGUGAUGAUGAACAUCUUUUCAUAUUUCUGUUGGCUAUCUGUAUGUCUUCUUUGGAGAAAUGUCUAUUUGUGUCUUCUGCCUAUUUUUAAUUGGAUUUUUUUGUUUCUUGGGUGUUGAGUUUAUAAGUUCUUUAAAAGCAUUUUUUUUAAUUAUUUAUUUAUUUAUUUAUUUGAGAGAGAGAGAGUGCACGCGCAAGUGGGGGCAGGGGGAGAGGGAGAGGGAGAAGCAGACUCCCCACUGAGCAGGGAGCCCGACUCAGGCUCAAUCCCAGGAUCCCGAGAUCAUGACCUGACCUGAAGGCAGACCCUUAACAGACUGAGCCACCCAGGCACCCUGAGUUUUAAAAGUUUUUUAUAUAUUUUAGACACUAACCCUUUAUCAGAUAUGUCAUUUGCAAAUAUCUUCUCCCAUUCUGUAGGUUGCCUUUUAGUUUUGUUGAUUAUUUCCUUCACAGUGCAGAAGUUUUUUAUUUUGAUGUAGUCCCAAUAGUUUAUUUUUGCUUGUUUCCCUUGCCUCAGAAGACAUAUCUAGAAAAAGUUGUUAUGGCUGAUAAAGAAGUUACUGCCUGUGUUGUCUUCUAGGAUUUUUAUGAUUUCAGGUCUCCCAUUUAGAUAUUUAAUCCAUUUUAAAUUUAUUGUUGUGUAUGGUAUAAGAAAAUAGUCCAGUUUCAUUCUUUUGCAUGUUGCUGUCCAGUUUCCCCAACACCUUUUGUUGAAGAGACUUUUUCCCAUUAGAUAUUCUUUCCUGCUUUAUCAAAGAUAAAUUGGUCAUAUAGUUGUGGAUUUAUUUCUGGGUUUCCUAUUCUAUUGCAUUGAUCUAUGUGAUUAUUUUUGUGCCAGCACCAUACUGUUUUGAUUACUACAGCUUUGUACUUUGUAAUAUACCUUCAAGUCUGUAAUUGUGAUGCCUCCAACUUUGCUUUUCUUUUUCAAGUUCGCUUUGGUUAUUCAAGGUCUUUUGUGCUUCUGUAAAUUUUAGGAUUGUUUGUUCUAGUUCUGUGAAAAAUGCUGGUCGUAUUUUGAUAGGGACUGCAUCAGAUUUGUAGAAUGCUUUGGGUAGUAUAGAUAUUUUAACAAUAUUUGUUCUUCCAAUCCAUGAGCAUGGAAUGUCUUUCCAUUCCUUUGUGUCAUUUUCAAUUUCUUCCAUCAGGAUUUUUAUAGUUUUCAGAGUACAGGUCUUUCACCUCUUUGGUUGAGUUUAUUCCUAGGUAUCUUAUUAUUUUUGUUACAAUUGUAAAUAAGAUUGUUUUCUUUAUUUCUCUUUCUGUUGCUUCAUUAUUGAUGUAUAUGUACAGGAUUUUGUGUCCUGAGACUUUACUGAAUUUGUUUAUCAGUUCUAGUAGCUUUUUGGUCGGUCUUUGGGUUUUCUAUAUCAUGUCAUCUGAAAAUAGUGAAAGUUUAACUUCUUUCUUAUUGAUUUGGGUCCCCUUUAUUUCUUUUUGUUGUCUGCUGUGGCUGGACUUCUAGUACUUUGUUGAAUAAAAGUGGUAAGAGUAGACAUCCUUGAGUUGUUUCUGACCUUAGGGGAAAAGCUCUGUUUUUUCCCCAUUGAGGAUGAUACUAGCUGUGGGUCUUUCAUAUAUGGCCUUUAUUAUGUUGAGGUAUGUUCCCUCUAAACUUAUUUUCUGGAGGGUUUUUAUCAUGAAUGGAUGUUGUGCUUUGUCAAAUGCUUUUUCUGCAUCUGUUGAAAUUAUCAUAUCAUUCUUAUCCUUUCUCUUACUGAUGUGAUGUAUCACUUUGAUUGAUGUGCAAAUAUUGAACCACCCUGGCAACCCAAGAAUAAAUCCCACUUAAUCAUGGUGAGUGAUUUUUUUCAUGUAUUGUGGAUUUGGUUUCCUAGUAUUUUGUUGUGAAUUUUUGCAUCUAUGUUCAUCAGAGAUAUUGGCCUGUAAUUCUCUUUUUUAGUUGUGUCUUUAUCUAGUUUUGGUAUAAGGUAAUGCUGGCCUCAUAGAAUGAAUGUGCAAGUUUUUCAUUCUUCUAUUUUUUGGAAUAUUUUGAGAAGCAUAGGUAUUAAAUCUUAUUAAAUGUUUGGUAGGAUUCGUCUGUGAAACCAUCUCAUCUUGGACUCUUGUUUGAUGGAAGAUUUUUGAUUACUGAUUUAAUUUCUUUGUUGGUUAUUGGUGUAUUCAAAUGUUUUAUUUCUUCUUGUUUCAGUUUUGUAGUUUAUAUGUUUCUAGGAAUUUAUCCAUUUCUUCUAAGUUGUCCAAUUUAUUAGCAUAUAGUUUUUCAUAAUAUUCUCUUAUAAUUGCAUUUCUGUGUUGUUGGUUGUUAUUUCUCCUCUCUCAUUUGUAAUUUUAUUUAUUUGAGUCCUUUCUUUUUUUUUCUUGAUAAGUCUGGCUAGACGUUUACCAAUUUUAUUGAUUUUUUUCAGUGAACCAGCUCCUGGUUUCAUUUACCUGUUCUAUUGGGUUUUUUUAGUUUCUGUACCAUUUAUUUCUGCUCUAAUCUUUACUAUCUCCUUCCUUCUGCUGGUUUUAGGUUUUGUUUGUUCUUUUUCUAGCUCCUUUAGGUGUAAGAUAAGGUGGUUUAUUUGAGCUUUUUCUUGCUUCUUUAAGUAGGCCAGUAUUGCUAUAAACUUCCCUCUUAGAACAUCCCAUAGGUUUUAGACCAUCGUAUUUUCAUUUUCAUGUGUUUCCAUGUACUUUUAAAAUUUCUUCUUUUAUUUCCUGGUUGAAUCACUCAUUGUUUAGUAGCAUUUUAUUUAACCUCCAUAUAUUUGUGGUCUUUCAAGAUUUUUUCUUGUGGUUGACUUCUAGUUUCAUAGCAUUGUGAUCAGAAAAGAUGUGUGGUAUGACUUCGGUCUUCUUGAAUUUGUUGAGGAUUAUUCUGUGGCCUAGCAUGUGAUCUGUUCUGGAGAAUGUUGCAUGUGUACUUGAAAAGAUUAUGUAUUCUGCUGUUUUAGGAAGGAAUGUUCUGAAUAUAACUGUUAAAUCCGUCUAGUCCUGUGUGUCAUUCAGAGCCAUUGUUUCCUUAUUGAUUUUCUAUUUAGAUGAUCCAUCCAUUAAUGUAAGUAGGGUGUUAAAGUCUCCUACUAUUAUUAUAUUAUUAUUUAUCAGUUCUUUUAUGUUUGUUAUUAACUGUUUUAUGUAUUUAGGUGCUCCUGUGUUAGCUGCAUAAAUAUUUACAAUUGUUUUAUCUUCUUGUUGGAUUGUCCUCUUUAUUAUUGUAUAGUGUCCUUCUUUGUCUCUUGGUACAAUCUUUGUUUUAAAGUCUAUUUUGUCUGAUAUAAGUAUUGCUACCCUGGCUUUCUUUUGACAUACAUUUGCAUGAUAGAUGUUUCUCCAACCCCUCACUUUCAAUCUGCAGGUGUCUUUUGGUCUAAAGUGAGUCUUUUGUAGGCAGCAUAUAGAUGAAUCUUUGAAUCCAUUUGCAUUCAAAGUAAUUACUGAUAGAUAUGGGAAUGCCUGGGUGGCUCAAUCAGUUAAGUGUCCAACUCUUGAAUUCAGCUCAGGUCAUGAUGUCAGGGCCUGGGAUCAAACCCCACAUUGGGCUCCAUGCUCAGUGGGGAGUCUGCUUGAGAUACUCUUUCUUCCUCUCCUUCUGCCCCUCUCUCCACCCAUGUGCGCUCUCUCUCUUUUUCUCUCUCUCUCAAAUAAGUGGACAUAUCUUUCUUUAAAAAAAAGUAAUCACUGAUAGAUAUGUAUUUAUUGUCAUUUUAUUAUUUUUGUAGUUGUUUCUGACUAUUUUCUCUGUUCCUUUCUUGUCUUUCUCUCUUUCAUGGUUUGUUGACUUUCUUUAGUGAUGUAUUUGGAUUUCUUUCUCUUUAUUCUUUGCAUAUUUAUUAGUGGUUUUUAAUAUAUGGUUACUGUUAGGUUUGUGUAUAACACAACCUGCAUAUAGCAGUCUGUAUUACGUUGAUGGUUUAAGUUUGAACCAUUCUUUUCUCCUCUCUUCCCAUGUUUUAGGUACAUAUUGUCAUAUUUUACAUCCUUUUAUUUUGUGAAUUCUUGGACUGAUUUUUUACAGAAAUAUUCAUUUUUACUGCUUUUCUGUUUCCUACCUUCAUACUGCCACUUUAGGUUUCUCCUUUCCACUCAAAGAGUCCUCUUUAAUAUGUCUUGCAAGGCUGGUUUAGUGGUCAUGAAUUCCUUUAGUUUUUGUUUGUCUGGGGAAACUCUUUAUCUCUCCUAUUUUGAAUGAUAGCCUUGCCAGAUAGGGUGUCCUUGGCUGCAGAUUUUUCCCAUUCAGCACUUUGAAUAUAUCAUGCCACUCUCUUGGGCUUACAAAGUUUCUGCUGAAAAAUCCCCAACUAGCCUUAUGGGGGUUCCCUUAUAUGUUACUGUCUUCUUUUGUCUUCAUGCUUUUAAUUUUUUUUGUUUUUGUUUAUCACUAUAUUUUGCCAAUUCAAUUGCAAUAUGUCUUGGUGUGGAUCUACUUUUGUUGAUUUUGUUGUGAGCUCUCUGUACCUCCUAGAUCUAGAUAUCAUUUUCUUUUCCCAGAUUAGGGAAAUUUUCAGCUAUUAUUUCUUCAAAUAAAAUUUCUCCCCCUUUUCUCUCUUUUCUUCUCCUGGGACUCCUAGAAUACAAAUAUUAUUAUAUUUGAUGGAGUCACUGAGUUCCCUAAGUUUAUUCUCAUGUUGUAUAAUAAUUCUUUUUCUUUUCAUUCAGCUUCAUUACUAUCCUAUCUUCUAGGUCAUUCAUUCAUUCUUCUGCUUCUUCCAGCCUGCUGUUCAUUCCAUCCAGCAUGUUUCUUAUUUCAUUUAUUGGGCUCUUUAUCUCUGCUAUGUUAUUCCUUAGCUCUGUGUUAAAGGUCUCACUCAGGUCUUCCACUCUUUUCUCUUGAAGUUCAGUGAGUAUCUUUACGAUUACUACUUUAAAUACUCUAUCAGGCAUGUUACUUAUGUCUGUUUUGCUUAGAUCUCUGGCUGUGGCCUUGUCCUGUUCUUUCAUUUGGGAUAAAUUCCUCUAUCUUCUCAUUUUAUCUAAGUCUCUGUGCCUAUUUCUGUGUGUUAGGGAAAUCAGAUACAUCUCUUAUUCUUGAGGGUAAUGGCCUUAUGAAGAAGAGGUCCUGUAGUGCCCUCCCAUGUAGUGUUCCCUAUUCCCCAUGGCCUGACACUUCUGUGAGUGUCUCCAAUGUGUGUUGCAUGUGCUCUCCUGUUUUGUCCUGGCCACUUUAUCCUUAAGGCCAGUCAUCUGCAGAGGCUCUCUUUGCCCAUUGUGGGCAGGGUUUGGUCCCUGGGCUGAAUGUGGUGCAUUUUCACUAGGUGUGCUCUGCUCUGCUUAUGAAAUAAGAACUGUCACCACUACCACCAGAACUGAGGUUCUGCGAAACUUCUGAGUGGGGAGAUGAGGUGUGAACCGGGGUUUGGCCAGUCUCCUGGAGGGGGUCUGCUGUGCUGGGACUGAGCCAAGCCUGACUUGGAGGGGCAUUUCCACCAGAGUGUGGGGAGUAGGGCUUGGGGCAAGCAAGGUACAUAGCAAGUGAGCUCCACAUUGGUUCCUGCAGGAAGGCCUGUGCUUAUGCUGGGAGGUAGGGGAAGGAAAUGGCACUGGCCAGUUUCUUUGUUCUUGGAGUGGUCUGUCUGUAAAUGCUGUCUCUCCAGGACACACUCUGAGAUAAGUGAAUUACCCCCCCACUAAAUGCCCCAAGUGCUCUUCAGGCCGCUGUUUCCAUGUUGUACGUCCACUGGUUGUUUGCCUGCCUUCUCUCCAAGAGCAGCGUUAUGCCUUCUGGGAUUUAACACAGCCAACCCUGCUGACCUUUAAAACUCCAGGCUUUAAGCCCUGCUGGUUGCCAGAAGUCACAAAAUUUAUCCCCUUUCACUUUCCAAGCCAGUUACUGUGGGGAUUCCAUUUCCCUGGGAGCUGUCUUGUGUGCUAGUCUGUCUCUUGCCCUUCUCCAUAACCAUGGCUCCCUCUCCAUUACAGCAGCCAUGAUCCAUUUCUCUCCCAAACCAUGUCUCCAUACUUCCUGCCUUCUUCUAUGUAGCCUCUUCUCUCCCUUUGUUAUGGAGUUUGUUCUGCCAGUCUUAAGGUCAAUUUCUGGAGUAUUUAGGAUGAUUUGAUAGUCAUCUAGUUAUAUUCAUGACAAGAGGUGAGCCUCCUACUCUGCUGCCAUCUUCCAACUUCUCUCAUCCAGCCUUUCAACUAGUAACAGGAAGAACUGUGGCCAGAAUGUAGUUCUUCUGGAUUCUAUGCCAGCAUCCAUUCCACCAAGUCUCUCUCUGUGGUGCUUCCAGGGUUCUGUAUUGGCCUUAUGGAUAAGAAACAGAACUAGCAGCUGGGCAACCAACUACGGUUGUGCCCUGCACAAGAACAGCCCAUCGAGGCCGGGCACCCUGUACUGGUGCUUGUUCCUUUGGUAUUUUCUGCUUAGUAUGACUGUGCUAUGUGAGCUGGCUUUAACUCUGGCCAACGGUAUGUCCAACUUUGUGUGCCAAGGCUCCCCUGCUUCUUCUCUCUUCUGAAUCCUUUCAAGGUGUCCUCCCAAUUUAGCCUCAUCUGAGCUCUGUUGUGUACAGUGAAGACCAGUGAGUUUUUGAUGAAGCACAUCCAUAGAAUUGUGAAGAUUGAUGGUUUUUCCGAUAGUCUGUGUCCUCAAAGUAAGUUAGAUACGACUGGAAACUGUAAUUGCUUGUCCAAGCCACUAGGGUACCAUUUAGGAAAUUACUUCCUCAGUAAAAUUUAGUAAAUUACAGUUGUAAUUUAGUAAAACUAGGCUACUCUUUGGUAAAUUAGUGUUUCAGGGCAGUUGCAAUGAUGUACUGCACAGAACUUAGUGAAUGGUAUCCCAGUGACCUAUAAUGCCCCUUCUAGGUGGGCCUGUGCAAAGGGGAAAGCUUCUGUGUCAUGGGAAAAAUGUCCAGUUUAUUAUAAUUCAUGAGAAGGGAGAGACCAAGAGUCCUUAGGAGGUCAGAGGGUCCUCCCUGCAUUUGUUAAGGAAAAUUUCUCAAACAGCACAUGUAAAUAGCUCCCAAAUGGAUACAAAAUUCAGAGCAUUUCAUAGCUUUCAGGGACAAUCAAUUUGAAAGGAGGAAAGAAGGAAGGAAGAAAAAUUUUCAUGAUUGAUAGAAUGGGAUGUUUAAAGAAGCAACCAAAACGUUUUUAAUGGAUCCAAAUAUUCAUAAACACAUGGUAAGAAUGAUGGUGCUUUAUAAAUGCUCUAACAUAAAGUCUUGAUAAUAUACAGAUAAUGCCCCAGGGGACCUAUAAUGUGCUUCUCCUCAGAAGCUCAACAAACUGCUAUGUAAAUUAUUAGUGAUUAAUAUUUUCUACAUUAAUCUUAUACAUACAUUUAAUCUUCAAACAUUACUGCUGGCUCUUUUGCCAAUCUCCCUUCAGUCAUUAUUAAAUAAAAUUUCUCAUUUCUUUCUUCCUACAAACAUCCCUUUUUUCUUAAAUCUUUCAGAAUUUCUGGAAUAUACCAAAAGAUUUGAGAAAAAUCUGUCUUUGCUAGAAGAUACUCUGGCAAGUCAAUCCUUCUGAAAGAAUUAAUUUUUUUGAAAUCAGUGCCUACUUAGUUUUGCAAUUUUCUUUUAAAGAAUGCACUCCAUUUUAGAAGACUUUUGUUAAGGGGAACUUAUUCCUCAUCUCAUGCCCCAGAAGUUUUCUCUGCCCCUAGCUUGCUCCUCCCUGUAAAGGAGUGACUUAUUUGAUCAAUGUUUGGACCACAUUACUUGGAGGGCAUUGAUGCCCAUCUCAGCUGCUAUGGGUUGAAUUGUGUCUCCUAAAAAAAUACGUUGAAGUCCUAACCCCUAACAUUUGUGAAUGUGACCUUAUUUUGAAAUAGGGCUUUGCAGACGUACUCAAGUUAAGACAAGGUCAUUAGAAUGGGACCCUAAUCCAAUAUGACUUGUGUUCUCACAAGAAGAGAAGAAACACAGAUGCAUCUACAAGCUGAGAAUGCCAAGGACUGCUAGCAAACACCAGAAGCUAGGAGAGGCAAGGAAGGAUUCUUCCCUACAAGUUUCAGAGGAAGCAUGGCCCUGCUGACACGUUGGUUUUGGACUUCUUGCCUCUGGAACUGUGAGAGAAUAAAGGUGCCUGGAUUGUGCUGGACCCAUCAGAGCUGUAAGACCCGUAAAAGAGAAUCCAGUCCUCUGUGGAGCCCCCCUGAAAAUUUGGGGCACUAGACACAUAAACCAAACCCUUCUCUCCUCUGAGUGAACCUGGAAGCUAAGGGGUCUCUUCCUGAUUGUUGGCAUUGUGCCAAGGACAAGGUCUCUGGCAACAAGGUGUCCCAAAUCUCACUGCCAUAUUCACGGAGCCUGAUUUUAUGUUCUCCAAGGAUGUGACCCAGGAAACCCUCCGUGAAGGAAAUCUAAACCUGUUUUUCCCUGUGUUAUAAUAGAGAAAUACAGAAAUCAGUGAGAAGACCUUUGUUACCAUAGUCUUUCAAUAAAAACUACGUACAUGAGCCAGAUAAGAUGGGGAAACUGAGGCACAAAGGAUUAAAUAGCUUCUGGAGAUCACACUUCUGUUCAUGGUGCAGCUGGGACACACACCAACCUGGACUUGUCAAUUCCAGGACCCACACACUUACCCCACCAAGCACACUGCUCCCUGAGGGACAAGAACACAAUAUCGAACAGUGCCUGCAAAGGGCAAGGUGUCCUCUCUCUCAUUGCAAUAGUGACAAGUGGAGCUCUGAUUGCUCAGGAAAGAAGAGGUCAGUUCUCUCUGAGCUCCUUUUGAUCAUCACAGGACAGACACCAAAGAUUCCCUGAUACCCACCCUCCUGGCUCUUCUCCCACCUCACAGUCAUCCCUUUGCCAGAAUUGUCCUCCUCCAUGUACUGGGAGGCCCUCCCGUCUCUGUUCCAGGUGGCUUUUCUGAUCCCUGGGCCAUCUUCUGUGGAUUCCUCUGUCUUCCCACGAUGCACAGUUUGGUCCUGCAGUGCAAAGAUCCACAGGAAACUCAAACCCUCAGACUGUAGCUGGAAGACUGAUCCUGGCUUCCCUCACAUCCUCAAUCCUAGUGAGUGGGUCUGUGUUAGCCAGGGUUCCAUCAAGGAAGCAGAACCAUAAGGAAUGAUACAGAAUGUAGGAUUUACUGUGGGAUUUGACCUCACACAUCUGUGGGAAGUGGUUAAAGGGUUCAUGUAGAGCUGCUGCUUCCAUCUGGUGCUGGACUUGAAGUCACUGCUGGGCUAUCCCUGAAGGACAGAUGGACAUGAAAUGGGGAGAAGAAGGAACCCUGGCUAGAACCCUCAAAGAUGACCUUGGAACAAGGAACCCUAGCUAGAACCCUCAAAAAUAACCUCUUGGCUUCUCCCCAUCUCCAAACCUCCACCUGCAGAAACCAUCACUAUGGACAUGAGCAAACUCCUGACCCAACGGUCGAAGAGGCUAGAGCAGGGGAAUUGGUGGGGCUGACUGCUGCAGGCCUGGCUGCUGUCCCAUGCCAACGAGGUGACACAAAGCAUCUGGGACAGUGUGCCUGAGCUGCAAAGCUCCUGCACCAAGCAUAAACAUGAUGCAACUGCUACUUCCCUUCCACUUGCAGAUCUUGAAAAUGGGUCUGCUCAGCUCUUGCCCACAGUGGCUGAUAAGACCCAAACACCUGGUUUGGAGGAGUCCUUGAAACCUACCCAGCUGUCUCUGGGAUACUGUGCCUGUUAUGGGGUCUUCCCUUGGGCAGACAGGGGCUUCCUGAGAGGUCAGGGAAGGGAUAAGAAGGGAGGGAGGAACAAUGAAUAAAUCCCUCUCAUUCAACCAGUUCACCAUUAAUGGGAUAUUUCUUGUUAGAGGCUGAGAAUAAAGAAAUGUAAAAGAUACAUCCUGUCCUCAGAAGGUAGACCGUAUAGCAGGAACACAGCAAGUAAAUAGAUGAUCCCAGGUCUCAUCAUGCUGUCCCACGUCGUCUUACCUAAGGACCCGCCCUUACUACACUUAAAGAAUGGUCAUGGCCAUACUUACUCCUGCUUUAAAUGUAAAGAGGCAUCUCCCACCAUUAAGAUGGCUACCGUCAAAAACAGAAAAACCAAGUGCUGGCCAGGAUGUGGAGAAACUGGAACCCUCGUGCACUAUUGGUGGGAAUGUAAAUUGAUGCAGCCCCUGCAGAAAAAAGUAUGGACGUCCCUCAAAAAAUUAAAAAUAGAGAUGCCAUAUGAUCUAGAAAUUACACAGAUGCAUGUUUACAAAAAUAAUUGAAAGUAAGGGCUCAAAGAAAUAUUUAUGCCCAUGUUCAUAGCAGCGUUAUUCACAACAGCCGAAAGGUAGAAGCAACUCAAGUGUUCAUUGACAAAUGAAUGGAUAAGCAAAAUGUGGUCUAUAGAAACAAUGAAAUAUUAUUCAAUCUUAAAAACGAAGGAGAUUCUGACACUUGCGACAACAAUGAAACUUGAGGACAUAAUCUUUUUUUUUUUAAAGAUUUUAUUUAUUUAUAUGACAGAGAGAGACAGCGAGAACAGGAACACAAGCAGGGGGAGUGGGAGAGGGAGAAGCACGCUUCCCGCUGAGCAGGGAGCCCAAUGUGGGACUCGAUCCCAGGACCCUGGGAUCAUGACCUGAGCCGAAGGCAGACGCUUAACGACUGAGCCACCCAGGCGCCCGAGGACAUAAUCUUAAAUGAAAUAAGCCAGGCACAAAAAGACAAAUACUGUAUGAUCCCACUUACAUGAAGCACCUGGAGUAGUCAACUUCAUAGAGGCAGAACGUAGAAUGGGGGUUGCCAGCGGCUGGGGAGGAGGGAGGAAUGGGGAGUUAGUAUUUAAUGGGUGCAGACUUUUGGUUUUGCAAAAUGAAAAGAAUUCUGGGGAUGGUAGGUGGUGUGAAUAUACUUAACACUACUGAACUGUACAGUUAAAAGUGGUUAAGAUGGUACCUUUUAUGUGGUGUGUAUUUUACCACAAUUUUUUAAAUGUAAGGAAGAAUGUUGAAAGAGGGAGGUGUUUAUUGAAAAUACUUAAUUUCAUCAACCAAAACAUGUUUACCCUCUUUGAUAAGUUGGAGCAGCAGAGAGAGGCUGCCCCUGGCCUCCAGUCUCCCUUUCCUGUCUCAAGGUUCAUGUCUGGAAAACUAAAAUGGAAAUUUACUUACACCCCAGUGUGUGCUUUCUUUUGUUCUAAGUGUGUAACGAAGCACCCACUAUCUUCAUCAGUUCUGCUGGGUCAGCCCUGGAACCGGCAUGGUGACCCUGGAGGUGACCAAGUCCUUCCGAAUGGGAGAGAACAGUGUGAGGCUGAGGCUGGUAACAGUGAUGAAGAAUGUCCCUGAACUUUGAAGUUCAAUGAGCACUUCCUUUGGGGAGCUGGUUACCUGUCUGUGAACACUCCCACCCCAAUGGGUAUUGUUGGCGGCUUUAUGACAAUGUUUGUGAUUCUAUUGCAACAGUUAAAAUUUAUAAACUUACUUUCAGUAUUUGUAUCGCUGCUUUAUCCUUUGUUAAAUUAUCUUUGGACAAAGUGUUAUGAGAGAAGGUGAGGAAGGAAGGGUCAUUUCCGAAACACAGUGAAAACAGGUGCACCUGCUGUUCCUCAGGAGCCCUGGGUCCAUCCUCCCCUGAGCUUGCACUCAGCACUGAAGCACGGGUACCCUUGCAGAGCCAGCAUCUGAACAAGGAAUGGCCUGGCACCCCUUGCCCUCGUGGGUCCAAGUGUGGGGUCCUGAAGCCAUGGUACUCAAGCUAAGGGCGAAGUUUAGGAUGUCGCAAUAGCAAAUUGUGAUCCAAUCCAGCUUCAUCCUUACAAACUUGAAGAAGUCAAGACUGUAAUUCUCUCCAUUUUCCAGCUGGAGAACUAAGGCUUCAAAACAACAAAAUCAGUUUUGUUCAAGGGUCAUAGCCAGUGAAUGGGAGACAAGAGGCUUGCACCCAGGUGGUUUUCCAGACAUGAACCUUGAGACAGGAAAGGGAGACUGGAGGCCAGGGGCAGCCUCUCUCUGCUGCUCCAACUUCCCUGCCACACAGCCUGGGUUUUGGUUGGACGAGGAGACAACCACAAACACCACAGUGCAGAGCUCUGAAAAUCGGGAUUCCAGAUGGGAGGUCAAGGAUGCCUUGGUGCCUGAACAGAUGACUGCUUUGGGUUUUAAAUCUAGAAGGUGUUGAAAGGAAAGAAUCGGGUGGUUGGAAAGAAAGUCAAUACAGGCUAGAAUGUGUGUGUGCGUGUGCGUGUGUGUGUGUAGGGAAGGGUCUCUGCCUGAGCUCCCUCACCACACCACAUCCCUCUUCCUGUUUGUCUUUGCACCUGUGGCCUGAGAAUUAUGAUUUCUUUCCUUCCUUCCCUCCCUUCUUUCCUUCCUUCUGCAUUCCUGUAUUUCUUUCCUUCAUUUUUUUUUUUAUUUAUUUGAGAGAGAGAGAAUGAGAGAGAGCACAUGAGCGGGGGGAGGGCCAGAGGGAGAAGCAGACUCCCUGCUGAGCAGGGAGCCCGAUGCGGGACUCGAUCCAGGGACUCCAGGAUCAUGACCUGAGCCGAAGGCAGUCGCUUAACCAACUGAGCCACCCAGGCGCCCCUCCUUCUUCUUUUCACCUGUAGUUAUAAUUGUUAUUUUUGUACCAGUUAUAAACCAUGAAAUAUAUGGGAUAUGAGUUCCCUUUGCCUGUCAGCACUUCUACUUAUUAUUCACCUUUUGAUGGGUUUUCAUUGUCUUGGUCCACGUUCCACAGUGACGUUCUUCAAAGAUUCACAUGAUAUCCAUUCUCUCAUUUCUCAUUAUCAAAUACAAUUUUAACCAUUUCUAGCUUUGCUAUAACAGAAAAGAUGCAAGAGUUUAUCUCUUCUAUUUCCCGAUAAAGUUUGCACACGUGCACACACAUAUAGACAACGUAGUAUCUAGAAAACAAUCUAACUCAAAUUUCUGGCCAUAUAUGAAAUGUGUGGAUGGUGUAACCAUACAUUUUCUAGGCCUUGGGCUAUGUGUAAGGCAACAAGUCUCCACCUGAUCAGGGUUGUGUUUCCACAAAAUGUUAGAUUUGUUUAAAUGCUGUUCUGUCUCCAAUCAGAACAGCACAGGAUUUUACUGUAGCUUAGUGAUGUUAUUUUGGAGAACUGCGUGAGAUCUAACUAUAGAAUCUAAGAAAAUCUGUAUUAAAGGGGAAAAAACAAGCAUCAAUAUUCGCUGCUUUUUUAACUGUUUAUUUGGAAAUGAUUGUAGACUCACAGGAAGUUGUAAAAAUAGUACAUAGAGUUUCUUGAGCCCUCCAAUGGUGACAUGGCCAUAGCACAAUCCCAAAACCAAGAAAUUAACAUUUGGCACACACUAUUAACUAGACUACAGACCUUACUCAGUUUUACCUUUUUCUAACCUGCAUUUGUGUGUGUGUGCACACGUGUGUGUGUGUGUGUGUGGUUUUUUGCAGUUUUCCUCUGUGUACAGAUUCAUGUAACACCAUGUUCUGGACACAGAAUUGUUCCAUCAUUGUCGAUGAACUUUCUACCAUCUCUCUAUAAUCUCCCCCAUCUGCCCAACUCUUGAAUCAGUUCAUGACAACUCCUAACCUGUUCUCCAACUUUAUAGUCUUGUCAUUUUGAAGGUGCUUUAAGUUGACUCACCAUAUGAAACCAUUUCAGAUUGGCUUUUUUCACUAAAUGUCCUGCUCUUAAGAUCUACCAAGCUGUUGUGUAUAUCAAAAGUUUGUUCCUCUUAUUGCUGAGUAUUAUUCCAUUUUGUAGGUGUACCAGGGUCUGUUCAACCUUGCACACUUUGAAGGACUUUUGGCUGUUUUCACUUUUUUAUUAACAUGAAUAAAGCUGCUAUCAACAUUCAUAUACACAUUUUUGUGUGAACAUAACUUUUCAUUUCAUUGCAGUUUCAUAUGGUUAGUGCACAUUUAGUUCUCUAAGAAACAGCCAAACUACUUUCAAGAGUGACCAUAUCAUUUUUACAUUUCCACCAACAAUGUACUAAAGUUUCAGUUUCUUGACAUCCUUGCCAUGUUUGGUGUUAUCUUUAUUAUUAUUUUAGUCAUUCUAAUAAGCAUGUGGUGAUAUCCCAUUGUGGCUUAAAUUUGUAUUUCUCUAAUAGCUAAUGAUGUUGCAUAUUUUCUCAUGUACUUAUGUGCCUUCUGUAUCUCCUUUCGGUGAAAAGUUUUUUUGUUCAUGUGUUUUGCCCAUUUGUCUAAUUGGGCUUUUUUGUGUGAUUUUGUUUUUGUUUUUAUCAUUACUGUUUUUACUGUUACAUCUUGAGUAUUCUUUAUGUAUUCUACAUACAAGUCCUUUGCCAGGUAUGUGGUUUGCAAAUAUCUUCUCCUUGCCCAUGGCUUGUCUUUUCAUCAUCUUACAAGGAUCUUUGACAAGCAAAAGUUUUCAUUUUGAUGAAGUCCAGUAUAUUACUUUUUUAUUUAUGGAUUGUGGUUUGGGAGUGAAGUCUAAGAACUCUGCUUAACUCUACAUCCCAAAGAUUUCCUCCUCCAUUUUCUUCUAAAAGUUUUAUAGUUUUGUUUUACAUUUAAGUCUAUGACCCAUUUUGAGUUAAUUGUAUAAGGUGUGAGAUUUAGGUUGCAAUUCUUUUUUUCCCCUAUCGAUGUUCAACUGCUGUAAUAUCUUUUGUCGAAAGGUUAUCUUUUUUUUUUUUUAAAGAUUUUAUUUAUUUAUUUGAGAGAGAGAAUGAGAGACAGAGCACGAGAGGGAAGCGGGUCAGAGGGAGAAGCAGACCCCCUGCCGAGCAGGGAGCCCGAUGCGGCACUCGAUCCCGGGACUCCAGGAUCAUGACCUGAGCCGAAGGCAGUCGCCCAACCAACUGAGCCACCCAGGUGCCCCGAAAGGUUAUCUUUCUUACAUACAAUUGCUUUUACACAUUUGUCAAAAAUCAGUUGAGCAUAUUUGUGUGAGUUGAUUUCUGGAUUCUCUGUCCUGUUCCAGUGAUCUAUGUCUCUCCCUCUGCCAAUACCACAUUGUCUUAAUUACAGUAACUUUUAAAGUAAGACUUAUAUCUGCUAGAGUGAUUCCUUGCAUUUUAUUCUUCUUUCUUAACAUAUGCCUUUCCAUAUAAACUUUACAAUGGGCUUGUCUAUGUAAAAAAGACUUGCUGGAAAUUUGAUAUAUGUUGCAUUAAGAUUAUGGAAUAAUUUGGGAGAGAAUUGACACAUUCACUAUGUUGAGUCUUCCUAUCCAAGAACACAGUACAUCUCCAUUUGUUUAGAUCUUCUUUGAUUUUAUUCAUCAGUAUUUUCUAAUUUUGGCACACAGAUUCUGGACAUGUUCUAUUAGAUUUAUAUCUAAAUAUUUCUCUCUUCUUUUGAAAAUUGCAAAUACUAUUGUAUUUCUACAUUUUGGUUUCUGUAUGUUGUUGCUUAUAAAAAUACAAUCUAUUUUUAUGUGUUGAUCUUGUAUCCCACAACCUUACUAUACUCGCUUAUUAGUUCUAAGACUUUUUUUCUAGAUAUCUUGGGAUUGUCUACAUAAAGAACCACGCCAUGUGCAAACAGGGCCAGUUUUAUUUCUUCCUUUUUGUUCUGUAUCUUUUAAAAAAUUUUUUCUUGCCUUUUGGAGCUAAGAAUUUCAGUACUAUACUGAGUAAGAGUGGGGAGAGCAGACAUUUUAUCUUGCUCCAUAUCUUAGAGGAAAGAAAUUUGUCUUCCACCAUUGAGUAUUCUGUAUGCAGUAGGUUGUAGAUGCUCUUAAUCAAGUUUAAGAAGUUUUCUUCAAUUCCUAGCUUGCUAAGAGUUUUUCAUAAAAUGAUGUUGAAUUUUGUCCAUAACCAUAUCAAUUUUGACCAUAUCAAAAAUAAUCAUCUCCAAUAGCCAAAUCAUCUUGCUCCAUUCUUGAGUAAGAAGAACAAAGCUGGAGGUAUCACAAUCCCAGAUUUCAAAUGUAUGAUAAAGCUAUAAUAAUCAAAACAAUAUAGUACUGGCACAAAAAUGGACACAUAGAUCAAUGGACCAAAAUACAGAGCUCGGAAAUAAGCCCAUCCUUAUAUGGUCAAUUAAUCCACCACAAAAGAAGCAAGAAUAGACAAUGAAGAGAAGAUAGUCUUUUCAUUAUUUUUUAUUUAUUUAUUUAUUUAUUUAUUUAUUUAUUUAUUUUAUUAACAUAUAAUGUAUUAUCUGUUUCAGGGGUACAGGUCUGUGAUUCAUCAGUCUUACACAAUUCACAGUGCUCACCAUAGGACAUACCCUCCGCAAUGUCUGUCAACCAGCCACCCCAUCCCUCCCACCCCCCUCCACUCCAGCAACGCUCAGUUUGUUUCCUGAGAUUAAGAGUCUCUUAUGGUUUGUCUCCCACUCUGGUUUCAUCUUUUUCAUUUUUCCCUCCUUUCCCCUAUGAUUCUCUGUCUUGCUUCUCAAAUUCCUCAUAUCAGUGAGAUCAUAUGAUACUUGUCUUUCUCUGACUGACUUAUUUCCCUUAGCAUAAUACCCUCUAGUUCCAUCCAUGUUGUUGCAAAUGGCAAGAUUUCAUUUUUUACGGCUGCAUAAUAUUCCAUAUAUACCACAUCUUCUUUAUCCAUUCAUCUAUUGGUGGACAUCUAGGCUCUUUCCAUAGUUUGGGUAUUGUGGACAUUGCUGCUAUAAACAUUGGGGUGCAUGUGCCCCUUUGGAUCACUACAUUUGUAUCUUUGGGGUAAAUACCCAGUAGUGCAAAUGCUGGGUCAUAGGGUAAAGCUCUAUUUUCAACUUUUUGAAGAACCUCCAGACUGUUUUCCAGAGUAGUUGCACCAGCUUGCAUUCCACCAACAGUGUAGGAGGGUUCUCCUUUCUCCGCAUCCUCGCCAACAUCAAGACUAUGUUUUCAAUAAAUGGUUCUGGGAAAACUGGACAGCUACAUGCAAAAGAAUGAAACUGGACCAUUUUCUUACACCAAACACACAAAAAAAACUCAAACUGGAUUACAGACCUAGAUGUGGGACCCGAAACAUAAAACUCCUAAAUGAAAACAUAGGCAAUAAUCUCUUGGACAUCAGCCUUAGCAACAUAUUUAUGGAUAUAUCUCCUCAGGCAAGGGAAACAAAAGCAAAAUUAAACUAUUGGGACUAUGCCAAAAUAAAAAGUCUUUGCAUAGCAAAGAAACCAUCAACAAAACCUACUGAAUGGGAGAAGAUAUUUGCAAAUGAUAUAUCCGACAAGGGGUUAAUAUCCAAAAUAUAUACAUAAUUUAUAUAACUCCACACCAAAAACCAAGCUGAUUAAGAAAUGGGUGGAGAAUCUAUUCAGAUAUUUUCCCAAGAAGACAUAUAGAUGGCCAACAGACACAUGAAAAGAUGCUCAACAUCACUAAUCAUCAGGGAAAUGCAAAUCAAAACCACAAUGAUACAUCACCUCACACCUGUCAGGGUGAUUAGAAUCAAAAAGACAAGAAAUGACAAGUGUUGGCGAGGCUGUCAAGAAAAAGGAACUCUUGUGCACUGUUGGUGGGAAUGCAAGCUGGUGCAGCCACUGUGGAAAACAGUAUGGAGGCUCCUCAAAAAAUUAAAAGUGAAAAUAUCAUAUGCUCCAGUCAUUCCACUACUGGGUACUCACCCAAAGAAAAUGAAAACACUAAUUUGAAAAGAUACAUGCAUCCCUAUGUUUACUGCAACAUUACUUACAAUAGCCAAGAUAUGGAAGCAAUAUAAGUGUCUGUCCAUAGAUGAAUGGGUAAAGAAUUAUCUCGAGGGCUUUUAAUUGUUCUUAGCAGAAAGGAGCUGAGAGAAGUGAAUCUCCAUAGGCUUGUCUACAACCAGAGGCCUGACUGUUUUUUUAUGCUAAAGGUUUUCCCCUCUUGUACUUUGUAGCUAGAAAUUCCUGGAAUUUUUAAAAGAAUAUUGGAAUAAAGAACUUUUUUUUUCCAAACAUAUAAAUGUCUUGUAACAUGCUUAUUAAUAUGUGAUCAAGUACAGCAUAGGAAAUACAUUCAAUAAUACUGUAAUAACUUCAUCGUGACAGACGAUAUCUAUUCUUAUCAUGGCAAACAUCUCAUAAUGUAUAUAAAUGUAUAUAAAUAUGUUGUACAACUGGAAACUAAUAUAAUAUUGUAUGUCAACUAUACGUCAGUUAAAAUUGUUAAAAGUACACAGUUUGCAUUAGUCAACAUAAGAUGUAUAAAAAAAAAUGGGGCGCAUAGGUGGCUCAGUUGAUUAAGCGUUUGCUUUUGGCUAGGGUCAUGAUCCCAGGCUUCUGGGAUUGAGUCCUACAUGGGGAUAUAUAUAUAUAUAAUUAUUUUAGCAACUUAAUGUGAGCACUUUGAACAAAGCGAACUUUUUACUGCACUCUCCUUUUUUUAAAAAAAGAUUUUAUUUAUUUAUUUGAGAGAGUGAGUGAGAGAGAGAACACAAGUGGAGAGGGGCAGAGGGAGAGGGAGAAGCAGAGAACUAGAUGUAGGGUUUGAUCCUGGGACUCUAGGAUCAUGACCUGAGCUGAAGGCAGAUGCUUAACUGACUGAGCCACCCAGGCGCCCCUGCAUUCUCCUUUUUAAUAUCAUCAAUUUGGAGUCUGAAAAAAAAGUGACAUAGAAUUAGGUUAACAGAGAAAAUUUUAUUUUAGUUGAAAAUACAUUGUGAUUUCUGUGCCAAGGAAAUCAUGCAUUUGUGUGUUAAGUGACAGGGUCAUCGAAGGAAAGAUUUCUUUGGUUUGUUUCUUAACUUUUUGCAAUAUUGAAAAGAGAGUUUGGGCUCUCCUGCGGACCAGUGUCUCUGUGGGCACCAUCAUCCCGAAUCAAGACCCAUCUCACUCUUCUUUAACUAUGACAAAUGAUACUGCCACAGAGUACCCCCAAGUGUUUGCUAUUACAGACCACCUGUCACAAGUCUACCUGCCCAUGAGCCACCGUCACAGAGGAACAGGCCCCGGAACGGUGCCACAAGAGGGGCUGGAAGGAAUUGGGCAAGAGAAACACGAAAUCCCCUGGCUUAAAUCAGGCACUGUCUUUCACCCAUCAUCUCCAAUAUAAAUACAUUGCAUUUGCCAUUUGCCAAUAGUCAUCCAAGAGUCCAGCCCAACCAUUUCUUUGCUCAUCCUGUGUAUAAAAGCUAUGUGCUCCCUGAGAUAUGACUUACCUGCCUCGUUUUCAGAAGGUCCGCAGCCCUCUGACCCUGCCCAUGCAGAUUGAACAUGGGCUUAGCAACUUUUACAUCAGCAGCCUCUGUCCACAGCCUCUUGCAGCCAUGGCCGCUGUGGGCAGGCCCCAAGAGCAAGCUGCAGAUGUUGCAAGCCGUCCUGGGCACCUGGUCUGGAUUUCCUUGUGCCGCUUCUAUCUGUCACUUCUACCUCUGCUUUUUCCUGCCUGGUGUCUGCUUUUUCCACCUGUUCUUCAGGAUUGACAUCCUGGUACCUAUGACACUCGGGUGGGAGAUCCCCGUGGGAAGCCCAGUCUUGCAGGGGACACGGGUGACUUGGAUGUGACGCAGAAAGACUAGCUGUUCUGCCCUCGGCCCAUCUGGCCAUCAGGAGGUCAGCUACAUGGGGACGAGACUUGACAUACCUGGCUUGCUUUACUCCAGGCUCCUGAUUCAGGGACAGUGUCAGAUAUAAGACAAACAUUGGCAUGAGGAUUGCAUACAACAUGAAUGAAUUCUGAUUGCCGAAUAAGUAUACUUCCAGUUGGAGGAACACUGCAAUGACAAACUCCCAUGGGAGUAAAUUCUCCGGAAAAUUGCCUUCGGGGUACCCCAGGAUUCUGUGACUGUGCAGAGACUGGAAUCACCAACUGUCAGCUCUUCUCCAGGUCUGGAUGACAGUGCAUUUCAAGUCCCACUGGCGGGCCCAGCAGGCUGACUAAGCACAAGGACCAACUUUCCAAGGGCCUGCAGUCUGAGGAGGGAGUGACAGGGGAGAGUACUGAUUCCAACUUUUGAAAGAAAACACAGGAUGAACAUUAACUUUAGUUAAAUAUCUGUAAGAUAUAUUUUUAAUGUCAAAUAGUCAAUUAUAAUUCAACUGAUAUAUAGUGAGAUAAAAAUUGCAUUUGAUUUUGAAGGUGGGGACAUUUUGAUGUGUUUGGUAUGAUGGGGUGGGGGUGGGGGAGCUUCGGUGUUUUAAAAAGAACCCACAGCCAACUAGGAAAGCAGGACACAAAGAUAGAAGGGUGCAGAAGGAAAACCACAACCUCAAUAAGCUUAUACAAAAUUCUGCAAUCAGAAAUUUCAGAAGGCAGCCAUUUUCAUGUCUGUUUUGUUAAAUGGGAUGGGUGUUCCAUUAUGGGCUCAGUGGUCAGGGUCUAACCUGGGCCCUCCCAGUUGCAUGGAGGGCAACUUUCUGCCCCUGGCUGCCCCAGGCUGACCAUACCCAGCACCUCUGGUGCUGUGAGUGCUGAUGCCCCCAAAGAUGUGUUCUCCAGGAGCCCCUUCCUGUGCAACAGAUAUAAGUGCCCACCACAGGGGAGGGAGGAAGCCCCCAGGGCCACCGUGGAAGAGGCUUGGCCAGUUUUCCAGACUGGUGGGAGCUCAGCUCUGCCUGGAAGGCUAAAGUGUAGGAACUGCCAUCAUUCGAUGCUGGCUGUUAUAUCUGGGAUAAGGCCAGGACUCCACUCUAUUUGUCCCUGAGCAGGCCAGGCCCCCUACCUGGUGCUGCUGGGGCCUAAACCUGCAACCCACAGCCAGCUCUGCCCACCUCUUCCCACUAACAACUUCCCCAUGUUUGGAACUAUCCAUGGGGGUCUGUGAGCCUGGGACUCCCAGCCUCAUCCAUAUGUGUUCAGGAGUCCUGUGCAUGGAAUGGGAACACAGAUUAUAGGGAGGAAGUUGGAAGAGCUCUAGGGCUGUACCAUGUCCACAUAGCCUCCUGCCACUGGGGAAUAACAAGAGAGGAGGCUACCCUGAGAAGUGAAGCCAGAAGCACAACCUGGUGGGGUCCACAAGACAGAGCACCAUGGGGGAGGGCCCUUCCACUGUGUGUUCGGGGUCACACUGUGCUGCCCCCUUUGGAGGGUGGUCAUUCACCAUGAAACUGACUUAUCAAGUCUUAGCUGAGCCCUUUUGAUGAGCCCACAAUGUAAUGAGGAAUCAAAAAAGAGAAGUCUGCUCCAGGCAAGUGUGAUUUAUGGGCAUUAAUUGCAACCACGCUCAUUUCCUAUAAAGUCGGGAUGAAGCUGCUAUUGCUGAUGCAAGGAAAAGAUGUGUCUAAAAUAUUGGCUGGUGUUGUCAAUACUGGGAGCUCUUGGGCCAGGUCCCUUCUGCGUUGUGAUGAGGUAAGGCUAUUUGGGAAGGAAAAUGCCUCCAGAACAUAAAUCUAUUUGACACCAGAUGUCUACUUCCCAUGGGGAGCCAGACCCUACUAUGAAGGAGGCCAGAGAUGCAGACAUGGAAAAAGUAGAGCCGAUCCGUACUUCAAGGAGAGAAAGGAUCAAAAACUGCCUUGGGUUAAGGCAGGCCCUUUGCUGGAGGUCGUUACAAGCUCAAAUCCUGCUCCCACAUCUCUCACCAAAACUAUAGCUCUUAACAGCGAUGUAAAAACAAUAUUGUCAUCUGUCGUCAUUUGGAUCAUGAGCAAAGGCAAAGGCUUUGAAUGAGCUUCUGCAGUUUGGCUCAGCACAUGGGUUCUGGCCAUUCAGCAUGAGAAUAUGUCCCAGGCACUGCUGGUCAGAUAAGAGGCCCUUGGAGCAUGUCAGAGCCCAGUCAAGCCCCACCUAGAUCAGCCAAGCCCAGUGGACCCACAGAGCCGUGCAUGAAGAAUCAAUGCUUACUGCUGCAAGCCACUGAAACUUUGAAAUUAUUUAUUCCACAGCAUUAUUGUGUCCAUCACCAAACCCAGGACUUUAGAGAAGUAAUGCUUCUGCCACUGUCUCAGAAUUAUUUUAUAAACAACACAAACACCGGCAUAGUUUGCUUUCUCUCGUGUCUUCAAAUAUUACAUUACUCUCCAGUCUGACUCAGGGGUUAUUUUAUUUUUAAAGCUACCUCCUCAGUAUAUAUAAUUUGGCCCUAAUUUUGUAAAGCAUGAAUAUAUAUACAAUCUCCAGAGAUGAGAUUGAAGUGCUAAAGAUGGUGUCAGUGGUAUUUCUGGGUUGAGGGGUCUAGAGUGACUUGCGUAUCACCUUAAAAAUUUUCUGUGUUUUCCAAAUUUUCUAUCAUAAAUAAUUAUUUGAGAAUCAGAUCGAUCUGCCUGAUUUUUAAACAGGUAAAGUUUAACAUAAAUAUAUUUUUUCAUAAAUAUAUUUUAAACAUGAAGCUUACUUCCUCAGAAACUUUGUGUGUCUGUCAAAAGCACAAACCAGGAAGAUGAGUAAAUCCUCACCCACUGCAGUCACUGCUCACUUUUUUACAAAAGAGGAAACUGGCCGGAAAUCUCAACAAAAAGAUUUUCAAGUGUGGUGGGCCUCUUGUGCUUAGGAUUUGAUGGAAGAAAAAAUUGUCCUUGAGAUCAGAUCUUGAUUAAAUACAAUUAUACUUUGGUGUAAUGCCAGUAAAUCAUUGCAAAGAUCCCAUUUGGACAUUUACAGUGAGCAGGGAAACAGUGAGCAAGCCUUGCUAGAUCCAUUUCUCAGAAGUGCAUCAGGUAGCCCACUUUCUCUCCAGAAAUUGAAAGUAAAAUCAGAUUUAUCUAAAAGUCACCUUUUCCAUGAAUGUGUCUAAAUGGGUAUGUGAGGUUAUGAAUAAUACCUUUCUGUUUUAGAACCUGCCCAAAUCAGAGUGAUUGUCCUUCCUAGAUUAGACCAGACUCUCUUUUUCUGAAGUGCAAUAAAAGAUGGAAAUUUCAUAAUAUCAAGAGACAGAGAACACUGUCCAUUGCAAGGCUGAGGAAUAUCCCAAUACAUCCUUUCGUCUUUGUCAGGGAAACAGAACCACCAGGAUGAGGGAUCUAUGAUGGGAACAAGACCUUACCAGCUACCAGAGGAACCAGAGAACUGAAGGUCUGAGAGGGGAAGUUGGAGGAUCAGAGGGCUGACUAAUAAGCCAGCCUGACCAAUAAGUCAAGCACAUGCCACCACCAACAUCCACGAAGGGGAAGAAGGAGUCUACGGGAAGCUGUUCCUUGUGUGGGUUUUCAACCAAGCAUCUAGAGGUGGUCUGGGGCUGCUGUUGGGAGCAAGAGAUGGACGUGUGGCAGAGGCAAGCGAGGAUGAGCAGGAUCCUGCUGGGCAACUCCAUGUGCAUCUGUUCCCAUAUCUAACCAUGCCAACCUUCAGAGAAUAAUGGUGGCUGCCCAUUGGCCAGAAGUGGCUCAGUCCAUGCUGUAAUGAAAGAUGGGGAGGUGAAAGGAAAUCUGGCUCUGUCAGCAAAGAAGAGUGGCUAUUAGAUAGGCAGCCAAGAGUGCCUGUGACAGAACCAGAUAAUUUAAUUAAUUCAAAUAAUUCAUGGCUGUGGGGGACUGACGUGGGUUAGCACCAUCCCUGGCCUCUCCCCACAAGAUGCCAAGAGCACACCCUUUCUCCCAGUGGUGACAACCAAAAAUGUGUCCAGACAUUGCCAAAUGCCCCUGGGGUGGUGGCAGGCAAAGUCAUUCCAUUUAAGAAACUUCUGUAUCACAAAGGAUUGAACCAAUAUUUUAGAAGGUAGUAAUGCUUAUUCAAUCAUAUUGGCCUAACCAGAAACAAGAACAACAACUUGGUUUUUAAUAAUUUUUAAUGAGAAUAAAGGUGCUUCUGUGCAAUUAAUAAACAACAGAGACUUUAAAAAAUAUUUUAUUUGAUCUUUAUCUUUAAAAAACUUUUUAUUGAAAUAAAGCAUAUAUAGAGAAAAAAGUAUAAAUCAUGAUAGUCUUCUGUUUAGUGGGUCAUCACUUAGAGGACACUCUAAGUUAAAACUAUGCUUUUUACAUCUGCUUCAAAUGUGUCAAAAUGGAAAGCUGUAUUUCAACCAUAAGUGGUUCAAACCAGCCAACGCUGAUAAAUGUCUAAGAAUCAUAAUGUGCCAGACUCUUAUUGGACCUGAAGACCUGAAAGAGAAGACUCAUUCCUGACCAAUGACAAGAGGGACCUGUGUUUUAAGCCUUGUAUGGACUUAUGGACUCAAGCCACCUAUUCCAUUGUACAAGCUUUAAUUCUUGAUUAGUAUAAUCACAAUGAACUGACCUUUUAGCAAAAAAAAGCCCUAACAUUUUCCUUCAAAGAGCCACUCAGUGGCUCUCCCCACGGGUGAGUAUACUAUUGCUUGGCAAGUAGAUAAAUCCAAGAUUCUAUUUUCUCAGUUGCUGGGGAGCUCAUUUCUUUCUUUUAACAAUCCUGGAGGUUCCACCAAGAUUGCAUUGUAGAUUCUGCUCAUCUGGAGCAGCAGAUAGCCCAAUGCAGGGAGUGUGCCCAUAGUCAGGGAAUCUGCUGCUUUUUUGGUGGUGAAUCACUCAACAGCAGUAAUAUCUUUCCUUCUUAGUCAUCACUGGAGUCCUGGUCAGCAAUAUUCAUCGCAUGACACACGGUAUGAGAUUUUAUUGUGAUGCUGAAGGGUUGAUUGAGUCUCCAACUUUAACUUGUAAUCUCUUAACUAUCUGCUGGAAGAAAUGUUCAUCACUGGACCUGAGAACAAGGAGUUAAUUGAGCUACUGAACACCCCAUCCAAACUCUAUCUGCAGAGUCUCCGUAGAUCUAAAUCUUGUGUAUUCUAAUUAUUGACUGUACCUUCUCAUUUAAAAACACAUCAACUCAUAAAAACCAAUGCUGGCCAGAAUACUGGGCCACUUUUGA